CAGUAGCCGCGGUAAUACGUAGGUGGCAAGCGUUGUCCGGAAUUAUUGGGCGUAAAGGGCUCGCAGGCGGUUUCUUAAGUCUGAUGUGAGAGCCCCCGGCUCAACCGGGGAGGGUCAUUGGAAACUGGGAAACUUGAGUGCAGAAGAGGAGAGUGGAAUUCCACGUGUAGCGGUGAAAUGCGUAGAGACGUGGAGGAACACCAGUGGCGAAGGCGACUCUCUGGUCUGUAACUGACGCUGAGGAGCGAAAGCGUGGGGAGCGAACAGGAUUAGAUACCCGCGUAGUCCCUGUCUCUUAUAA
rnacentral:rRNA from 1 species